CAAAACCCACAAUCUCAUGCUUUGUGUCUUUCAUCAAUGAAUCUAAUAUCAUAACAAAAGGCCAUCCACUCCACAUUUACAACAUAACACAUAAUAUUUACCAUUAUAACAAACCAGACACAUGACACAUGAAUUUGCCAUGCAAAAGGAAUGUAAUUUUUAUCGUAACACAUAAAUGUUACCAGUCAAUGGAGAAAUUCUAACACAAAUGUUAUCGUAAUAAUAUUGCAAAUUACUAUACUGACAAAUAUUUGCAUCCCAGAUGUGCAUGUCGGUUCUCAAUGUAGGAAGGCUCAGCGGCAUUCCUUUUUUACGUCGAUGAAAACACUUGCUGUUGACAGGAACAUGUGCUUUGAACACCAGUCAAAGGAAACUCUGGAAACUUGCGCAUUGGCAAUUUAACAGGUCCAUUUGCAAUCUUCAAGCCAUUUCUUUCAAUCUCUCUGGCUCAACAAAGCAAUAAUGAACUAAAUUCGAGCCAUUUGUUCCAAUCUCUCUGGCCCAACAAAGUAAUAAUGAACUAAAUUUAAAAAUCUGAUUAAUUCAAAUAAUGUGGUUGUCCACAUCAAAUACCAUCUUAUGAAAAUGUGGUACAAAAACAUGAUAUAAAUAACAUUACUCUAAUAAAAAUAAGAAUCAACAAAAAAAGGAAAUUAUAUUGAUAGAAAUCAAUAAUAAAAAACGCAAAGGAUUUGAAAUUAAAUCAGAAGAGAAACACCUACCAAGAAUCAAUAAAAAAAUAGCAAAUUACAUUGAUGGAAAUCAAUAAAAAAAACAGUUUGAAAUCAAAUCAGAAAAGCAACACAUACAAGGAAAAUUUGAACAGAAUGUGGCAAAGAUGUUGAACUUCCAAAAACAUUUAUUCAUUCUUGUGUCUCAAAACAAUUCUAAUGUUACCAUAGAAUUAAAUACCAUAUUUAUAUCUAAUAGUUUUUUUUUUUUUUUCGAAAGAUAGGGAUUCAAUAAAUACGAAUAGAAAGAUUAGCAUCCUUAGCAACAGUGUUAAACAGAAAGUCCGGGCCGAUACAAUCCCAGAUAAACUCUUAGCCUUGCUUGAAAACAUACUUGGCAAUUUCAUCAGUCAAAGGAAACUCUAGAAACUUGCGCAUUGGCAAUUUCACAGGUCCAUAUGCAAUCUUCGAGCCAUUUCUUCCAAUCUUUCUCUGGCUCAACAAAGCAAUGAUAAAUGAUGAACUAAAUUUAAAAAUCUAAUUAAUUCAAAUGAUGUGGUUGUCCACAUCAAAUAUCAUCCUAUAAAAAUGUGGUACAAAAACAUGAUAUAAAUAACAUUACUUUAAUAAAAAUUAAAAAUAAGAAUCAACAAAAUAGGAAAUUAUAUUGAUAGAAAUCAAUAAUAAAAAACGUAAAGGAUUUGGAAUUAAAUCAGAAGAGAAACACCUUCCAAGAAUCAAUAAAAAAUAGCAAAUUACAUUGAUAGAAAUCAAUAAAAAAACAGAG
rnacentral:lncRNA from 1 species